rnacentral:rRNA from 1 species
UACGUAGGGGGCUAGCGUUGUCCGGAAUCAUUGGGCGUAAAGCGCGUGUAGGCGGUCCGGUAAGUCCGCUGUGAAAGUCGGGGGCUCAACCCUCGAAUGCCGGUGGAUACUGUCGGGCUAGAGUACGGAAGAGGCGAGUGGAAUUCCCGGUGUAGCGGUGAAAUGCGCAGAUAUCGGGAGGAACACCAAUGGCGAAGGCAGCUCGCUGGGACGUUACUGACGCUGAGACGCGAAAGCGUGGGGAGCAAACAGG